rnacentral:rRNA from 1 species
GACGAACGCUGGCGGCGUGCUUAACACAUGCAAGUCGAACGGAAAGGCCUUUUCGGAGGUACUCGAGUGGCGAACGGGUGAUUAACACGUGGGUGAUCUGCCCUGCACGCUGGGAUACGCCUGGGAAACUGGGUCAAAUACCGGAUAGGACCGCACAUUCGAGUGGGUGGUGGACAGUUUUUUCGGUUCAGGGUGAAGCCGCGGCCUCUCAGCUUGUUGGUGGGGUAAUGGCCUACCAAGGCGGCGGCGGGUAGGCGGACGGAAGGUUUGGUCGGCCACAGUGGGAGGGUGAGAAGGCCCACACCCCUACGCGAGGCAGCAGUGGGGAAGAUUGCACCACGGGCGCACGCCUGAGGGAGCGACGCCGGGUGGGGGAUGACGUCCUUCGGGUUGUAAGCGGCCUUCGUCACGCACGAGGCGCCUUGUGCCGGUAGCUGGAGAAGAAGCACCGGCUAAAUACGUG